rnacentral:lncRNA from 1 species
CCUGGUUCUGGAGCAUAUAAACUGCAUGCGGAGAGUAGAGACAAAAAAAUUAUUUAUGAGAGGGAGAAUCACAACAAGUUUUUUCAUUCAUUCAUUUCAGCAAACGAAUGCACAUAUCAGUAGCAGAUGAUCUACAUUUUUAUCCUAGCAUUCCACUCUAAACAUACAAACAAAACAAUUGUAGAAUGUUUGAGAGAUGUAUUUUCCUAUAUAUUUGUUCGAAGAGAAUCCCACGAAUGAAAUUACACUAAAUCAAAGUCUACAGACCAAUACUUCUUUAUUUUCAAAGCCUUUGAAAUUUGAAUGAUGCCAAUGUAAUGCAAUAUUCGGAGAAGCAUUUUCUAAGAGACAUUUCAACAAACACUAAGAGGGAUGUCCAAGAUAUGGAAGUGCUGACAUUCUCAAGACGCUGAUCAUAGAGGAAGACCUGGUAACCUGCGCAAAAUCAAAUAGAAAUAAGGCACCGCGAGUGCUCGAGUGCCCCAACCAGACUUCGCUAUCGUCGUCGCACAACCACUGUGCACCGCUCGCUGCACAACACCCGCGCACCGCCCGCUGGACAGCCCACGAGCACUGUCCACAGCUCGCUCUUGCGUAGGUCGUAGGCGCGUCCUCGCCCUUGCGUCCUCGCCUGCUCCGCCAAUUCGCUCUCGCGCGCAACUCGCUCCUGCCAUCACGCUCAACAUCACCCUCGCUCGUGCCAUCGUGCGUAGCCUCGCCCCUGCGCCCAUCCCGUGACGCACUGCCCACCCCUCCGACCCUCUCUAUCUCACUCUCUAUUCAUUUUCC